rnacentral:rRNA from 1 species
AGUGAACGCUGGCGGUAGGCCUAACGCAUGCAAGUCGAACGGCAGCACAGUAAGAGCUUGCUCUUACGGGUGGCGAGUGGCGGACGGGUGAGGAAUACAUCGGAAUCUACUUUUUCGUGGGGGAUAACGUAGGGAAACUUACGCUAAUACCGCAUACGACCUACGGGUGAAAGCAGGGGAUCUUCGGACCUUGCGCGAUUGAAUGAGCCGAUGUCGGAUUAGCUAGUUGGCGGGGUAAAGGCCCACCAAGGCGACGAUCCGUAGCUGGUCUGAGAGGAUGAUCAGCCACACUGGAACUGAGACACGGUCCAGACUCCUACGGGAGGCAGCAGUGGGGAAUAUUGGACAAUGGGCGCAAGCCUGAUCCAGCCAUACCGCGUGGGUGAAGAAGGCCUUCGGGUUGUAAAGCCCUUUUGUUGGAAAAGAAAAGCAGCAGGUUAAUACCCCGCUGUUCUGACGGUACCCAAAGAAUAAGCACCGGCUAACUUCGUG